CCCCUCCCCGCCCCGCUGCCGCCGAUAAAUCCCACUGCCGGGGGGCAGCGCGGCACUUGGCGGUGCCGCUCUGUGGGUAGGUGGCGGGGCUUUGUCCGGCCUCCCCCCGCCACCGGGGCAGUGACCCCCGCCCAGGAGGCAGCAGGAGACCCUGUGGCCGGAGCGCAGACAAGAGCGCUGGUAAUUUUAACUUUGAUUGAGAACUGCUAUUAUCCACUCACAGCAUGUGGGAGCAAACAGGCACUUGGAUAAAUCACAAAGAAGAAAACCGCUUAGCAUGCUGCUUUCCUCAAUAACACCUUUUUCUGAAGGUGCAGGCUGAGUGCUGUGGGGAGAGUGUGUGUGAAGAAAAAAGCAAGGCUGCAACACCCCACUGAAGCGUGCUGAGGGUCAGCCCCUCUCAUAGAAGGUCACGUUUGACUUAGAAGGAAUUGUGAAGAUCAGUUUCCUCAGUGACAGAGUGGCAGCCAUUAGCAAGCUCAUUCAAGAGUAAUCAUCCAUCAAAGGCACUCAGCCCAGGGCUGUGUUUGCUGCCUCUCAGGAGUGGAUGGAGUGGGCUGACUCCACCAGCGUGAGUACAGAGGAGGUCGUCUCCUCCACAGCCAGCGCUGCUUCAGGUGAGAGGAAACUCAAACUGAUGUGAAACGUGGAGUACCUCUCACAUGGUCAUUGAGAAGAAGACUUGCUGGACAGCCUCUAUGAAAACUCAACACUGUUUUGGAUUGGAAUUUCCUACUGAGCACGCCAGCAGUGCUGCCAUGGCAAAAGACAAGCAAGAGUAAGGGCUACAGCUGCUCCUCUGACAUUGCUGGUACAGUUUCUAGAAUAAAUUUCCAGCUCCUACCAACUCCUGCUUCUACGCCAAGAAAAGGACCUGAACUGGAGGAGGUUUGGCACUUCAUCUGUGAUGGGUAGAAUCCAGCAAUAAAUUAUUCCACUAUGAAGGCCUAAUACAGUUAAUAGAGCAUAUAAA